GAUGAACGCUGGCGGCGUGCCUAAUACAUGCAAGUCGAGCGAACAGACGAGGAGCUUGCUCCUCUGACGUUAGCGGCGGACGGGUGAGUAACACGUGGAUAACCUACCUAUCAGACUGGGAUAACUUCGGGAAACCGGAGCUAAUACCGGAUAAUAUAUUGAACCGCAUGGUUCAAUAGUGAAAGACGGUUUUGCUGUCACUUAUAGAUGGAUCCGCGCCGCAUUAGCUAGUUGGUAAGGUAACGGCUUACCAAGGCAACGAUGCGUAGCCGACCUGAGAGGGUGAUCGGCCACACUAGAACGGAGACACGGUCCAGACUCCUACGGGAGGCAGCAGUAGGGAAUCUUCCGCAAUGGGCGAAAGCCUGACGGAGCAACGCCGCGUGAGUGAUGAAGGUCUUCGGAUCGUAAAACUCUGUUAUUAGGGAAGAACAAAUGUGUAAGUAACUAUGCACGUCUUGACGGUACCUAAUCAGAAAGCCACGGCUAACUACGUG
rnacentral:rRNA from 1 species